UUCCGGUUGAUCCUGCCGGAGGCUACCGCUAUUGGAGUUCGAUUAAGCCAUGCGAGUCGUGAGUCUUAGGGACUCGGCGUACCGCUCAGUAACACGUGGGUAACCUGCCCUAUGCUGGGGAAUAACCUCGGGAAACUGAGAAUAAUGCCCCAUAGUUCACCACACCUGGAACGGUGGGUGGAUGAAAGCUCCGGCGGCAUAGGAUGGGCCUGCGGCGUAUCAGGUUGUAGGGGGUGUAAUGUACCCUCUAGCCAUCUACGCGUACGGGUGUUGAGAGACAUCGCCCGGAGAUGGAUUCUGAGACACGAAUCCAGACCCUACGGGGUGCAGCAGGCGCGAAAACUUGGCAAUGCGAGCAAUCGUGACCAGGGAACUCCAAGUGCAUCGGGUAAGACCGAUGCUUUUCUUGACUCUUCAAAGGUCUUGGAAUAAGGGGUGGGUAAGGACGGUGCCAGCCGCCGCGGUAAUACCGGCGCCUCAAGUGGUAGUCGCUUUUAUUGGGCCUAAAACGUCCGUAGCCGGUUUGGUACAUUCGUGGGUAAAUCAAGACGCUCAACGUCUUGAAUUCUGCGAGCACGGCCAGACUUGGGACCGGGUGAGGUGUGGGGUACUCUCAGGGUAGGGGUAAAAUCCUGUCAUCCUGAGAGGACCACCUGUUGCGAAGGCGCCACACUAGAACGGAUCCGACGGUCAGGGACGAAGCCUAGGGGCACGAACCGGAUUAGAUACCCGGGUAGUCCUAGGUGUAAACGCUGUGGACUUGAUGUUGGGAGUGCUCCGAGCGCCCUCAGUGUCGAAGCGAAGGUGAUAAGUCCACUGCCUGGGGAGUACGGUCGCAAGGCUGAAACUUAAAGGAAUUGGCGGGGGAGCACUGCAACCUGAGGAUUGUGCGGUUUAAUUGGAUUCAACGCCGGG
rnacentral:rRNA from 1 species